UACGGGGGGAGCAAGCGUUGUUCGGAUUUACUGGGCGUAAAGGGCGCGUAGGCGGCCUCCGCAAGUCAGUUGUGAAAUCUCCGAGCUUAACUCGGAAAGGUCAACUGAUACUGCGGGGCUAGAGUGCGGAAGGGGCAACUGGAAUUCUUGGUGUAGCGGUGAAAUGCGUAGAUAUCAAGAGGAACACCUGAGGCGAAGACGGGUUGCUGGGCUGACACUGACGCUGAGGCGCGAAAGCUAGGGGAGCAAACGGG
rnacentral:rRNA from 1 species